AAGACUAUAGACCUGCGGAGUACCUGCGGAAGGAUCAUUAAAGAAUUAGCUUUGCUCCCUUCGGGGGGCGGGCUCUAUUCCCACAACCGUGUAUAUACUACCUUUGUUGCUUUGGCAGGCCGCCUUUUGGCGUCGGCUUCGGCUGGUUGUGCCUGCCAGAGGACCACAAACUCAGUUUUCUGUGUUGUCCGAGUAAUAUAAUAAAUAUUUAAAACUUUUAACAAUGGAUCUCUAGAUCGG
rnacentral:misc_RNA from 1 species